rnacentral:misc_RNA from 1 species
GUGAAUCAUCGAAUUUUUGAACGCAAAUUGCACUCCCUGGUAUUCCGGAGAGCAUGCCUGUUUGAGGGUCAGUUUAAAUAAAAAUCGGUGUGGUUGCUGACUUUCGUGGUGACGCACCGGAUUUGGGUUGUAUUGCUUUCGGUUAAGUGACUUAAAAAUUUGCAUGAUUUUUUCGAAUGUAUUUAAAUGAUUUUACGUACGUUUGUGAUAUCGAAUACUUGGUGUGGUGACCAUCAUGAUUCGUGGCUAUAAUUUUUCA